rnacentral:rRNA from 1 species
UACGUAGGGUGCGAGCGUUGUCCGGAAUUAUUGGGCGUAAAGAGCUUGUAGGCGGUUUGUCGCGUCUGCUGUGAAAUCUCAAGGCUCAACCUUGAGCUUGCAGUGGGUACGGGCAGACUAGAGUGUGGUAGGGGAGACUGGAAUUCCUGGUAUAGCGGUGAAAUGCGCAGAUAUCAGGAGGAACACCGAUGGCGAAGGCAGGUCUCUGGGCCACUACUGACGCUGAGAAGCGAAAGCAUGGGGAGCGAACAGG